GUGAGGAAUUUUCCGCAAUGGGCGAAAGCCUGACGGAGCAAUGCCGCGUGAAGGAUGAAGGCCUAUGGGUUGUAAACUUCUUUUCUUAGAGAAGAAUAUUGACGGUAUCUGAGGAAUAAGCAUCGGCUAACUCUGUGCCAGCAGCCGCGGUAAGACAGAGGAUGCAAGCGUUAUCCGGAAUGAUUGGGCGUAAAGCGUCUGUAGGUGGCUUCAAAAGUCUCCUGUCAAAGAUCAGGGCUUAACCCUGGGCCGGCAGGAGAAACUCUGAGGCUAGAGUUUGGUAGGGGCAGAGGGAAGUCCCGGUGGAGCGGUGAAAUGCGUAGAGAUCGGGAGGAACACCAAAGGCGAAAGCACUCUGCUGGGCCACAACUGACACUGAGAGACGAAAGCGAGGGGAGCAAAAGGGAUUAGAUACCCCUGUAGUCCC
rnacentral:rRNA from 1 species